rnacentral:rRNA from 1 species
AUUGAACGCUGGCGGCAUGCCUAACACAUGCAAGUCGAACGUGAAAGAGGGGCAACUCUCGAGUAAAGUGGCGGACGGGUGAGUAAUACGUAGGAAUCUGCCCUAGAGUGGGGGAUAACCUGCCGAAAGGCGGGCUAAUACCGCAUGAUCUCUAUGGAGCAAAGGUGCCCUGUAUUUAUACAGGGCUUCGCUUUAGGAUGAGCCUACGUCGGAUUAGCUAGUUGGUGGGGUAAUGGCCUACCAAGGCAACAAUCCGUAGCUGGUCUGAGAGGACGAUCAGCCACACCGGAACUGAGACACGGUCCAGACUCCUACGGGAGGCAGCAGUGGGGAAUAUUGGACAAUGGGGGCAACCCUGAUCCAGCAAUGCCGCGUGUGCGAUGAAGGCCUGCGGGUUGUAAAGCACUUUCGGUGGGGAAGAAAUGCCCAAAGAUAAUACCUUUGGGAGCUGACGUUACCCACAGAAGAAGCACCGGCAAACUCUGUGCCAGCAGCCGCCGUAA